rnacentral:rRNA from 1 species
UAGAUGCGAGAGUAGAGCAUAUCAAUAAGCGGAGGAAAAGAAACUAACAAGGAUUCCCCUAGUAACGGCGAGUGAAGCGGGAAGAGCUCAAAUUUGAAAUCUUCAAGGUUCUACCUUGACGAAUUGUAGUUUAUAGAAGUGUUUUCUGUUAGUAGAGUGGCAAAAGUUCUUUGGAAUAGGACAUCAUAGAGGGUGAGAAUCCCGUACUUGGUCAUUCUUUCUAGCUUUGUGAUACACUUUCAACGAGUCGGAUUGUUUGGGAAUGCAGUCCAAAAUGGGUGGUAAAUUUCAUCUAAAGCUAAAUAUUGGCGAGAGACCGAUAGCGAACAAGUACCGUGAGGGAAAGAUGAAAAGAACUUUGAAAAGAGAGUUAAACAGUACGUGAAAUUGUCAAAAGGGAAGCGUUUGACACCAGUGUUGUUUUUCCGAAAAUCAAUUACGAAUGUUUUGUUUUUAAGAAGUUAUGACUUCAUCGGCUUGCUUCUUUCUUUACGAAACUUUCUUAAUGCACUUUUCGGUUAACAAGUCAACAUCAAUUUCUUUUGUUGUAAAAGAGUCAUUGGAAGGUGGCUUUUUCUUCGGAAAAAGUGUUUAUAGCCUUUGGCUUCUGCAAUCGGAGAGAUUGAGGUCUGCAGCGUAGAUCCUUCGGGGUUAGAUACAUUUGUGCUAAGCUAUAGUUCUUUAUAGACAACAUGUUGACUAUAAUCAAUCCUGUAACUUACUCGCUUAUGCUAUUUUACCUACGCUUAGGAUGUUGACACACGCGCGUGCUCG